GAUAACAGUUAGAAAUGACUGCUAAUACCGCAUAAGCGCACAGGACUGCAUGGUCCAGUGUGAAAAACUCCGGUGGUAUGAGAUGGACCCGCGUCUGAUUAGCUAGUUGGUGGGGUAACGGCCUACCAAGGCGACGAUCAGUAGCCGACCUGAGAGGGUGACCGGCCACAUUGGGACUGAGACACGGCCCAAACUCCUACGGGAGGCAGCAGUGGGGAAUAUUGCACAAUGGGGGAAACCCUGAUGCAGCGACGCCGCGUGAGUGAAGAAGUAUUUCGGUAUGUAAAGCUCUAUCAGCAGGGAAGAAAAUGACGGUACCUGACUAAGAAGCCCCGGCUAACUACGUGCCAGCAGCCGCGGUAAUACGUAGGGGGCAAGCGUUAUCCGGAUUUACUGGGUGUAAAGGGAGCGUAGACGGCGCGGCAAGUCUGAAGUGAAAGCCCGGGGCUUAACCCCGGGACUGCUUUGGAAACUGCCGUGCUGGAGUGCUGGAGAGGUAAGUGGAAUUCCUAGUGUAGCGGUGAAAUGCGUAGAUAUUAGGAGGAACACCAGUGGCGAAGGCGGCUUACUGGACAGUAACUGACGUUGAGGCUCGAAGGCGUGGGGAGCAAACAGGAUUAGAUACCCUGGUAGUCCACGCGGUAAACGAUGAAUACUAGGUGUCGGGGAGCAAA
rnacentral:rRNA from 1 species